CUGCUCGUGUUACGUUUUUAAAUUUAGCGCCAGGCGAGGGGCUCUGAAUGCCGGCGCGUGGCCGCAGGCAACGGGAAGGGGCCGCGGCCUCUCCCUCGCAGCUCCGCUUGUGGAGAAAAGGUUGUUCUCUUCUACCAAAUUUUCCUGCCAUCAAAUGCUCAUCGAGUGACAAUAGAGAGAGCACCAUAGUCCUCAAGCAUCAGAUUGGGAGAAGAGUCUGCUCUCAAGAGCAUCAACUAUGUAGAAAAGGGACCAGCUUCUGCAAAAGACUUGAGACAGCUCACAAUGAAGUACUCUGUAUUAGGCAGGGUGAUAUUGAUUGCAAGUGACAGAAACCCAAUCAGAAACUCACUGGAGUCAUGAGGAACACUUAUUGGCUCAGAGUAAAGGCAAAAUAGACCUUCAGAGAAAUAAAGUCUGGGAAAUUGACUAGCUCCUCACUGAAAGAACUACUAAAGGAUGUACUUAUGGAAGAAGAAAAUUACAAAAUGAAAGAACUGGGAUGCAAGAAGUAAUGGUGAGCAUGGAGUUUGGCAAGGAUUCAAGUAAAACAAAGCAAGGACUGAGUAUAUAAAAUCAUAAUCAUAACAAAUUUUGACUAUUAGAUGUAACAGCCAAUCUCUUAACUGGAUCAUAAUAGUCAAGAAAGCGAAGGGCAGAAAAAAUGACAAAAAGAAUAAUUAGAAUGUUAAUAAGAAGAG